CGGCGAGUGAAGCGGCAAUAGCUCAAAUUUGAAAGCUGGCGUCUUCGACGUCCGCGUUGUAAUUUGUAGAGGAUGCUUCGGCGAAGACUCCUGCCUAAGUCCCCUGGAACGGGGCGUCAUAGAGGGUGAGAAUCCCGUAUGUGGCGGGCAGUCUAAGCCAUGUGAAGCUCCUUCGACGAGUCGAGUUGUUUGGGAAUGCAGCUCUAAAUGGGAGGUAAAUUUCUUCUAAAGCUAAAUAUUGGCCAGAGACCGAUAGCGCACAAGUAGAGUGAUCGAAAGAUGAAAAGCACUUUGGAAAGAGAGUUAAAAAGUACGUGAAAUUGUUGAAAGGGAAGCGCUUGCAACCAGACUCGCUCGUAGUUGCUCAGCCGGCCUCUUGGCCGGUGUACUCUUCUACGAUCGGGCCAGCAUCAGUUCGGGCGGCAGGAUAAAGGUGUCGGGAAUGUAGCACCCUUCGGGGUGUGUUAUAGCCCGGCGCGGAAUGCUGCCAGCCUGGACUGAGGAUCUCGCUUCGGCAAGGAUGCUGGCGUAAUGGUUGUAAGCGGCCCGUCUUGAAACACGGACCAAGGAGUCUAACAUCUAUGCGAGUGUUUGGGUGUCAAACCCAUGCGCGUAAUGAAAGUGAACGGAGGUGGGAACCCCUCACGGGGUGCACCAUCGACCGAUCCUGAUGUCUUCGGAUGGAUUUGAGUAAGAGCAUAGCUGUUGGGACCCGAAAGAUGGUGAACUAUGCCUGAAUAGGGUGAAGCCAGAGGAAACUCUGGUGGAGGCUCGCAGCGGUUCUGACGUGCAAAUCGAUCGUCAAAUUUGGG
rnacentral:rRNA from 1 species